UAGGGAAUCUUCCACAAUGGACGCAAGUCUGAUGGAGCAACGCCGCGUGAGUGAAGAAGGUUUUCGGACCGUAAAGCUCUGUUGUUGGUGAAGAAGGAUAGAGGUAGUAACUGGCCUUUAUUUGACGGUAAUCAACCAGAAAGUCACGGCUAACUACGUGCCAGCAGCCGCGGUAAUACGUAGGUGGCAAGCGUUGUCCGGAUUUAUUGGGCGUAAAGCGAGCGCAGGCGGAAGAAUAAGUCUGAUGUGAAAGCCCUCGGCUUAACCGAGGAAUUGCAUCGGAAACUGUUUUCUUGAGUGCAGAAGAGGAGAGUAGAACUCCAUGUGUAGCGGUGGAAUGCGUAGAUAUAUGGAAGAAUACCAGUGGCGAAGGCGGCUCUCUGGUCUGCAACUGACGCUGAGGCUCGAAAAGCAUGGGUAGCGAACAGGAUUAGAUACCCUGGUAGUCCAUGCCGUAAAACGAUGAGUGCUAAGUGUUGGGAGGCUUCCGCCUCUCAGUGCUGCAGCUAACGCAUUAAGCACUCCGCCUGGGGGAGUACGACCGCAAGGUUG
rnacentral:rRNA from 1 species